GGACGAACGCUGGCGGCGUGCUUAACACAUGCAAGUCGAACGGAAAGGCCCAGCUUGCUGGGUACUCGAGUGGCGAACGGGUGAGUAACACGUGGGUGAUCUGCCCUGCACUCUGGGAUAAGCCUGGGAAACUGGGUCUAAUACCGGAUAUGACCAACUGUCGCAUGGUGGUUGGUGGAAAGCUUUUGCGGUGUGGGAUGGGCCCGCGGCCUAUCAGCUUGUUGGUGGGGUAAUGGCCUACCAAGGCGACGACGGGUAGCCGACCUGAGAGGGUGAUCGGCCACACUGGGACUGAGACACGGCCCAGACUCCUACGGGAGGCAGCAGUGGGGAAUAUUGCACAAUGGGCGCAAGCCUGAUGCAGCGACGCCGCGUGAGGGAUGACGGCCUUCGGGUUGUAAACCUCUUUCACCAGGGACGAAGCGUGAGUGACGGUACCUGGAGAAGAAGCACCGGCCAACUACGUG
rnacentral:rRNA from 1 species